rnacentral:rRNA from 1 species
AUGGACCCCUCCGAGCGCCCCGCCGUCGUAUUCGACAACGGCACAGGGUACAGCAAACUUGGGUUUGCUGGUAACUCCGAGCCGUCUUUCACCAUCCCUACUGUAGUAGCUGUGAAUGAAUCUUUCUUGGACCAAUCAGAGCAGUGCAGUAGUGCAAAUUGGCUAGCACAGUAUAAUGCAGGUGUCAUGGCUGAUCUUGAUUUUUUUAUCGGGGAUGAGGCUCUGUCACAUUUUAAAACUAGUGGCCUGUACAGUUUAAGAAGCCCAAUUCGUCAUGGUCAGGUGAAUGACUGGGAUACAAUGGAGAGAUUUUGGCAGCAAUCCAUUUUCAAUUAUCUACGGUGCAAUCCUGAGGAACACUACUUCCUACUUACAGAUAGCCCUGUCAGUACGCCGGAAAGUCGUGAAUGUAUGGGAGAAAUUAUGUUUGAGACCUUUAAUGUCCCUGGUCUAUAUAUUUCUGUGCAAUCUGUGCUCAGCCUUUCUGCUGGAUUUGCAUAUCUGAAAACUCUUUCUGAAGAGGAUUCAGAAGAUUCUGUGUCUGAUAUGACAGGUGUAGUAGUUGACAUUGGGGAUGGAGCUCCACAUAUUGUGCCAGUUGUAAACGGCUAUGUAAUUGGGAGUAGCAUAAAGUCUUUUCCUCUUUCGGGAAGUGAUGUAACUCAGUUUGUUAUGCAGCUCUUACAGGAAAGGGGUGAGCUUCUUCCACCUGAUGAUGCUUUGGAUAUAGCUCGUAGGGUGAAAGAAACGUAUUGCUAUACUCCUUCAGACAUUGUCAAGGAGUUCAAGAAGCAUGACAGCAAGCCUAGUAAAUAUAUCAAACAAUGGUCUGCAAUCAAACCGAAGACUGGGAUUCCAUACACAAUUGACAUUGGAUAUGAGCGUUUUCUUGGACCAGAGAUCUUCUUCCAUCCUGAGAUGUACUCUGCUGACUUCUCCACUCCUUUACCUGAACUGAUUGACAGCUGUGUUCAAUCUGCGCCAAUUGACACAAGGAGAGCUUUGUAUAAGAACAUAGUAUUAUCUGGUGGAACUACCAUGUUUAAAGACUUCCACAAGAGACUCCAAAAUAAUAUAAAGAAGAUAGUAGACGAACGUGUUGCCGAAACUAAUGCACAUCAUCAUGUGGAGGUGAAACCUGUUGAGGUCAACGUAGUCACCCAUCCUAUACAGAGCUACGCAGUUUGGUUCGGGGGUUCUGUAGCUGCAUCCAGCCAUGAAUUCUUCGAGUGUUGCCACACAAAGGAAGAUUACGAGGAGCAUGGAGCAAGCAUCUGCCGAACAAGCACCGUUUUCAAAGGAAUGUACUGA